GAGAAGCUGCGAAGAUGGCGGAGUAAGGCGUGCCGCUGCAAACUGGCCUCUGGGCCGGGGGCGAGCAGCCCCCGGGAGGCCGAGUGCAUCUGUUGGACCGUGCGAGGAGAAGAAAAAAAAUAUCGGCCAGAGGAGAGGAACUAACCGAACAUUCUUCCUCCCUACCUUAUAGAGGGGAGUGGUCAUCUACACUAAAGCAAAGUGUUAGGCGCGUCCGUGCGAAGAGACCACCAAACAGGCUUUGUACCAUCUGGAUAUAUACGUGCAGGCUUGGGCUCAGAGGCCUGACACAAAGGUCUUAAGUAGGGGUCCAUAAACUACUGGAAAUUUUAUGCACAAUUAUACAUUUUUGUGGGAAGAAGAAGGUCCAUAGUAUCAGAUUCUCAAAGAGGACACUGUUUCAUAAAAGCUUGAGAACCACUGCUCCAAGACUUGACAUCUUUUUAAAAUUAAUGCCAGUGCAGGUUCCUUAUCACAGGAAGAAAAUUUUCCUUGACCUUUAGGUGCUUUUAUAUUCAUCUCAAAAACAAAAUUCUGAACUCAGGACUUGGCAAGUAAGUAAUUGUGGGCUAAUCGUUCCAAAUACUGUUUAAGUAGCUUGAAAACAGGUACAUAGAAGUGGAACAAUAAGCCGUUAGCUUCAGCAGAAGACGAACAUGAAAAAUGACUGUAAGCUAUUGAAAUUUAAGUUAAAUCUUUUAUUUUUCAACAAAAGAAAUGUAUUAAAUAAAAAGGAGUAAUCUUGAUCAUUUGCUCAAA
rnacentral:lncRNA from 1 species